rfam:Trichosporon oleaginosus strain IBC0246 unplaced genomic scaffold CC85scaffold_139, whole genome shotgun sequence.
GGCCACUUAGCUCAGCUGGUUAGAGCGCAUGCUUAACACGAGCGUCAGUCUUCAACGACUGCAACGAGUUACGCAUGAGGUCGGCGGUUCGAUCCCGCCAGAGGUCA